UCCCCGGUGGCUCAGACGGUAAAGCGUCUGCCUACAAUGUAGGAGACCCAGGUUCAAUCCCUGGCUUGGGAA
rnacentral:tRNA from 1 species